UGUUCAUAAAAGGAGAGUAAAGUAUGGGGCUGCUAACUUCAUUAGAGUUAAUAACUGCAGAUAG
rnacentral:tRNA from 1 species